AUAUGUCAUGGGCUCUGAGAUUCUCUCUGUCUCAUGUGUCCCCUGGAGUCUUGGCCGAUUGGCCCCUGUCAGUUCCACUGUGAUGUCAGAGUACUUGUGAACCACAUAAUUCCACCUCUGAGGCUGGGGCACUUUGCUCACAUCACCACUUCUGGACUCAGCAGGGUUAGGUUCAGCUAGCAAAGUAGCUGCCUAUGAGAAACUGGCUAGCUGGAAAGGGGAGAUGGGCAGGAGCUGUCAGGAGACUGAAAACAACUCAAAGGAGUGUUUGUGUAAAGAGAUAUUCAUGUACAACUGAGAACAGAGAAUCAAGGAAACUUGUGGUCAGAUACGUGCUGUUGCCAUUCUGGGGCAUCCUGCCUUCACAAGCAUUAGAAACAGGUAUAUUUGAAGGCAGCAGACACACACCCAGGAUGGUGACAACACCAUGCCCUCCACCUGACUCAGGAGCUGGCAGAGCCUGGGCACUCGUUUCCAAACAUCCUGGACGCAGCAGAACAAGAUGUUGCAGAAUCCAUACGCUCUGCUCUCGGUCUUUAAACCGCAGGUCUGAGCAUCCUUCUUAUUCUUCUCACUCACGACUUACUCAACUACAAAAUAGAAAUAGAUGGACUACAGGAUAAGAACAUUAAAAAGGAUGCCCAUAGAGCUGCAGGAAGUAGGUGAAUAAAAGACAUGAAAUGUGACA
rnacentral:lncRNA from 1 species